GAUGAACGCUGGCGGCGUGCCUAAUACAUGCAAGUCGAGCGAACGGACGGGAAGCUUGCUUCUCUGAUGUUAGCGGCGGACGGGUGAGUAACACGUGGAUAACCUACCUAUAAGACUGGGAUAACUUCGGGAAACCGGAGCUAAUACCGGAUAAUAUUUUGAACCGCAUGGUUCAAAAGUGAAAGACGGUCUUGCUGUCACUUAUAGAUGGAUCCGCGCUGCAUUAGCUAGUUGGUAAGGUAACGGCUUACCAAGGCAACGAUGCAUAGCCGACCUGAGAGGGUGAUCGGCCACACUGGAACUGAGACACGGUCCAGACUCCUACGGGAGGCAGCAGUAGGGAAUCUUCCGCAAUGGGCGAAAGCCUGACGGAGCAACGCCGCGUGAGUGAUAAAGGUCUUCGGAUCGUAAAACUCUGUUAUUAGGGAAGAACAUAUGUGUAAGUAACUGUGCACAUCUUGACGGUACCUAAUCAGAAAGCCACGGCUAACUACGUG
rnacentral:rRNA from 1 species